rnacentral:rRNA from 1 species
CACGUAGGGGGCAAGCGUUGUCCGGAUUUAUUGGGCGUAAAGAGCUCGUAGGUGGUUCGAUAAGUCGAGUGUGAAAACUCCAGGCUCAACCUGGAGACGCCACCCGAUACUGUCGUGACUAGAGUCCAGUAGGGGAGCGUGGAAUUCCUGGUGUAGCGGUGAAAUGCGCAGAUAUCAGGAGGAACACCGGUGGCGAAGGCGGUUCUCUGGGCAUUACCUGACGCUGAGGAGCGAAAGUGUGGGGAGCGAACAGG